GUGUCUCUCUCUGGCAGCAACACCAUCAUUCCACACACACCACCCUUCCGUGCCUUCGAGGUGACAUCACAUCAUCCAGCUAGUUAAAGGGGGGUGUUAAACACGACGGCAGGCACCGAGGAGCAGAAACUGAGUGGCUCGUACGGCAUUCCAUUACCAAGUUCAACCAAAGUAAGGACUAUAAAAUAUCAACUCCCGUUUUAGACUUAUGUGCCCUUACAGAUGGAAGAAUACAGUUAUAUUGCAGUGAAACCUUCAGACUAUCAAAUCAAUAAACCAAGAGAUCAAAUUACACGCAGUGUGACAGCUCGAAUGAACAUUCCAGCGCCCGGUGCUCUGCGACAAGGCACAGACAGCGGACUGUCAAAUGCUUUAAUCAACCCGCAUUCUGUUGCUGUCUGCAAUAUUCAUUGUAACCAUCGGCAAGAAGGAUAAAACACAUGCUGGGAA